CCAUGGUGAAGAGGAGACAAUGCUCACACAGAGAGACUGCAGAUAAAGCCUUCUGACCUUACCACGAUGGCCAGAACUCUGUGCAAAGCAGGGCAUCCAAGAGGUCAGAGAGCAGGAGGCACAGCUCGUUACACCAGGCAACGAGAUAACAGAGGCCAAACAUAAAAGAAGCAUGGGACAGGAGUGAGCCAUGUAAAUAUUACACUGGAAUAUGUGUCUGGACAUGGAAAAGUGAAGAAGAUAAAGGAAAAAAAUGGAGGAUGCAAAAGAAUUACAAAAGGUGUAUGUGUCCUUGCAUGAAAUGUCAGCCAUGGAGAACUGCAAGUAAGAAGGAAUUUUAGCACAGAGUUGAUAUAAAUCAGCCCAGACUUGGUUUGGAAAGAGUCACCGAAGGGAAUCACAGAAUCAUAAAAUUGUAGGGAUUGGAAGGGACCUCUGGAGAUCAAUGAGCUCAACUCUCUGAUAAAGCAUGUGCCCUACAGCAGGUAGAUGUCCAAAUGGGUCUUCAAUAUCUGCACAGGAGUCUACCUCUCUGGGCAGCUUGUUCCAAUGUUCUCGCACCCUCACAGGAAAGAAGUUCUUCCGUGUGUUGGUUAUGGAGCUUCCUGUGUUCCAGGUUCUUCCCUUUGAGAUAAUAAUUGAAAAUUACAGAUUGAUACAAGAUGACAGGUGGAAUAAAUGAACAAAUCCAAACAACUG